rnacentral:rRNA from 1 species
UACAGAGGGUGCUAGCGUUGUUCGGAAUCAUUGGGCGUAAAGGGCGUGUAGGCGGUUUGUUAAGUCAUGUGUGAAAUCCCUCGGCUCAACCGGGGAACGACGCAUGAAACUGACAAGCUAGAGUACCAAAGAGGGGGGUGGAAUUCCCGGUGUAGCGGUGAAAUGCGUAGAUAUCGGGAGGAACAUCUGUGGCGAAGGCGGCCAUCUGGACCAACACUGACGCUGAGGAGCGAAAGCCAGGGGAGCAAACGGG